rnacentral:rRNA from 1 species
ACGGAGGGGGCUAGCGUUGUUCGGAAUUACUGGGCGUAAAGCGUGCGUAGGCGGAUUAAUAAGUUAGAUGUGAAAUCCCAGGGCUCAACCCUGGAACUGCAUUUAAAACUGUUAGUCUUGAGUUCUGGAGAGGUAAGUGGAAUUCCUAGUGUAGAGGUGAAAUUCGUAGAUAUUAGGAGGAACACCAGAGGCGAAGGCGGCUUACUGGACAGAUACUGACGCUGAGGCACGAAAGUGUGGGGAGCAAACAG